rnacentral:rRNA from 1 species
GAUGAACGCUGGCGGCGUGCCUAAUACAUGCAAGUCGAGCGAACGGACGAGAAGCUUGCUUCUCUGAUGUUAGCGGCGGACGGGUGAGUAACACGUGGAUAACCUACCUAUAAGACUGGGAUAACUUCGGGAAACCGUAGCUAAUACCGGAUAAUAUUUUGAACCGCAUGGUUCAAAAGUGAAAGACGGUCUUGCUGUCACUUAUAGAUGGAUCCGCGCUGCAUUAGCUAGUUGGUAAGGUAACGGCUUACCAAGGCAACGAUGCAUAGCCGACCUGAGAGGGUGAUCGGCCACACUGGACUGAGACACGGUCCAGACUCCUACGGGAGGCAGCAGUAGGGAAUCUUCCGCAAUGGGCGAAAGCCUGACGGAGCAACGCCGCGUGAGUGAUGAAGGUCUUCGGAUCGUAAAACUCUGUUAUUAGGGAAGAACAUAUGUGUAAGUAACUGUGCACAUCUUGACGGUACCUAAUCAGAAAGCCACGGCUAACUACGUG